GUGGAUGUAGUUCAGUCGGUUAGAGCGUCAGAUUGUGGUUCUGAAUGUCGUGGGUUCGAGUCCCACCCUCCACCCCA
rnacentral:tRNA from 1 species